AUCCAGAUGACGAGUCCCAAACAGAACGCAAUGUGCAUCCUGGAU
rnacentral:hammerhead_ribozyme from 1 species